GAAAGGAGUAAUCCGCUGAUAGAUGGGCUUGCGUCUGAUUAGUUAGUUGGUGGGGUAACGGCCUACCAAGACUACGAUCAGUAGCCGGACUGAGAGGUUGAACGGCCACAUUGGGACUGAGAUACGGCCCAGACUCCUACGGGAGGCAGCAGUCGGGAAUAUUGCGCAAUGGAGGAAACUCUGACGCAGUGACGCCGCGUAUAGGAAGAAGGUUUUCGGAUUGUAAACUAUUGUCAUUAGGGAAGAUAAAAGACUGUACCUAAGGAGGAAGCCCCGGCUAACUAUGUGCCAGCAGCCGCGGUAAUACAUAGGGGGCAAGCGUUAUCCGGAAUUAUUGGGUGUAAAGGGUGCGUAGACGGAAGAACAAGUUGGUUGUGAAAUCCCUCGGCUCAACUGAGGAACUGCAACCAAAACUAUUCUCCUUGAGUGUCGGAGAGGAAAGUGGAAUUCCUAGUGUAGCGGUGAAAUGCGUAGAUAUUAGGAGGAACACCAGCGGCGAAGGCGACUUUCUGGACGAUAACUGACGUUGAGGCACGAAAGUGUGGGGAGCAAACAGGAUUAGAUACCCUGGUAGUCCACACUGUAAACGAUGGAUACUAGGUGUAGGAUGUAUUAAGCAUUCU
rnacentral:rRNA from 1 species